AGAGUUUGAUCAUGGCUCAGGACGAACGCUGGCGGCGUGCUUAAUACAUGCAAGUCGAGCGGACCCAGCAGAUUGUCUCUGGUUUCCAGAGACAAUCUGCGACGGUUAGCGGCGAACGGGUGAGUAACGCGUGGGUAAUCUGCCCCCAAGACCGGGAUAACAGUGCGAAAGCGCUGCUAAUACCGGAUAAUCUCUUCUUGUCGCAUGAUAGGGAGAGCAAAGCUCCGGCGCUUGGGGAUGAGCCCGCGUUCCAUUAGCUAGUUGGUGAGGUAACGGCUCACCAAGGCGACGAUGGAUAGCCGGCCUGAGAGGGUGACCGGCCACACUGGGACUGAGACACGGCCCAGACUCCUACGGGAGGCAGCAGUAGGGAAUUUUCGGCAAUGGGGGAAACCCUGACCGAGCAACGCCGCGUGGGGGAAGAAGGCCUUCGGGUCGUAAACCUCUGUCUUUGGGGACGAUAAUGACGGUACCCGAGGAGGAAGCCCCGGCUAACUACGUGCCAGCAGCCGCGGUAAU
rnacentral:rRNA from 1 species